rnacentral:rRNA from 1 species
UGGGGAAUAUUGCACAAUGGGCGAAAGCCUGAUGCAGCGACGCCGCGUGCGGGAAGAAGGCCUUCGGGUUGUAAACCGCUUUCAAUUGGGAAGAAGGGAUGAGGGUUAAUACCCCUCUGACUUGACGGUACCUUUAGAAGAAGCACCGGCUAAUUUCGUGCCAGCAGCCGCGGUAAUACGAAAGGUGCAAGCGUUGUUCGGAUUUACUGGGCGUAAAGAGAUCGUAGGUGGUUUGUUAAGUCGGAUGUGAAAUCCCGGGGCUCAACCCCGGAACUGCAUUCGAUACUGGCAGGCUAGAGUUUGGGAGGGGUAAGCGGAAUUCCGUGUGUAGCAGUGAAAUGCGUAGAUAUACGGAGGAACACCUGAGGCGAAGGCGGCUUACUGGACCAAUACUGACACUGAGGAUCGAAAGCGUGGGUAGCAAACA